rnacentral:rRNA from 1 species
GAGGCAGCAGUGGGGAAUAUUGGACAAUGGGCGCAAGCCUGAUCCAGCAAUGCCGCGUGUCAGGAUGAAGGCCUUCGGGUUGUAAACUGCUUUUGUACGGGACGAAAAGGCUCUCUCUAAUAACAGAGAGCCGAUGACGGUACCGUAAGAAUAAGCACCGGCUU